AGCUAUUAGAUGAUAUUUAUAGUUAAACCUGCCCAAUGUUGAAAAUUAAUGGCCGCGGUACUUUGACCGUGCUAAGGUAGCGUAAUCAGUUGGCUUUUAAAUGGAGUCAGGUAUGAAUGGAAUAACUGGGUUUUACUGUCUCUUAAUUAUUCGAUUGAAUUUACUUUUUAAGUGAAAAAGCUUAAUUUAUAUAAAGGGACGAGAAGACCCUUAGAAUUUUUUUAAAAAUGGUAUUUUAUCAGUAUAAUUUUGUUGGGGCGACAAAGAAAUAAUUUUUAACUUUCUUUUAUUACAAGCCGAUUUUUUUAAGCAAGAAUAAAUUACCUGAGGGAUAACAGCAUAAUUCUAAAAUUGAGUUUGUGACCUCGAUGUUGGACUAGGAAACUAGCAGAUUAGCCAUUUGCUGUGUUGGUUCUGUUCGAACUUUAAUUCCU
rnacentral:rRNA from 1 species